UACAGAGGUCUCAAGCGUUGUUCGGAUUCAUUGGGCGUAAAGGGUGCGUAGGCGGCGCGGUAAGUCGGGUGUGAAAUCUCGGGGCUUAACUCCGAAACUGCAUUCGAUACUGCCGUGCUUGAGGACUGGAGAGGAGACUGGAAUUUACGGUGUAGCGGUGAAAUGCGUAGAUAUCGUAAGGAAGACCAGUGGCGAAGGCGGGUCUCUGGGCCGGUACUGACGCUGAGGAGCGAAAGCGUGGGGAGCAAACAGG
rnacentral:rRNA from 1 species